UAGAAUGAGCUGGGAGUCACUCUCCCCCUCCCGUUAAAAUGUUCUUUCCAGAGAGGAAGUCAGGUCGAGAUGACCUGAUAGGGUUGUGUAAGGCAAGGGUUGUGUAAGGACAGCCAAUUGAGGGAGGACAUCUGUUUAUCUUGAACAAACUGUGGAGUCUGAUAACUGCCAAAUAUAUUUGUGUGACGUAGAAAGACUGUAUAAAAGUUCUUGUCUAACAAUACUUGGGCAGACUUCCCUGGCGAGAGAAGUUCUGCGCAUGAUUUCCAAUCUGCCUGGCAACAAUAAAGACAAAGACCUUUGCAAACAAUCUCCUGACUCCAAGCCUGUUAAUUCUUGCUUAAGAACCACUUUCGAGACCCCAACAAUUGGUGACCCCGACGUGAUUCGCUACAUCUACAUUUGAGAAGAUCUGCCUGUUCCAUCCCAAACGCAUCAUGAGUGUGCCAAAAAGACCGGUAGAGGGAGGAGCCAGAGCUGUCCUGUCGCCUGACCAGACCGUGCCAGCUGCUACUCUGCGCGUGACCGCCCAGGAGGUGCUCAGCCUCAAAUUCCCUCUUCUCCGAGAACGCCUCGUCGAGAUGAACAGGAAAUGGGCCAAGCGCACUGCCAAGAUGACAACAGUCUGGCCAGAGCACGGGACUUUCGAUCUAAGCCUCUGCGACGACAUGAGGGUCCUGAUCGCCAACCACAGCCAUUCUGGUUCGGCCAAGAAAAAACUCAAAAAAACGCAAUGAGGAAGCUGAGUUUCUGAAGCUGUAUGAAAAACAAGGACAGAACUAUUGUGAUACGGCUAAGGCUUGCUUGCUCGCAGCCAAGACCGAUCAUGAGACUCAAGAGAGGGCCUCCCCUCCCCCAUACGCUAAAGAGGAGAGCGGCUCUGCCCCACCCAGAAAGACUGUGUAUACGGGUGAGGCAGAGAACCCAAGAUAUUCAUCAUCCAUCUUGGCCCAGAACCCUGUUGGACCCCUCCCAAGCCCUGUAAUGAGUCAGGGAAGGCUAGUCCGUAUCAAGGAGCCUCCUUCAUACCAUCAAGCGCCCAUCCUGGUGAGGGGAACUCAGUUGAAUUAUGUGCCCUGGACAACAAUGGACAUGACUGGUUUAAUUGCUCGGCUCCCCAAUCCAUAUGAGGGAGCGAGUAGGUGGAUUAAGGCGUUCGAGCAAGAGACACUGGGCCAUAACAUAGCCAUUGGAGACAUCACGUCUCAACAGGCCAAACUGAAAGGGACUGAGGGGGGGGAGAAAGCAUUAACGGAUAUCAAACUGAGUCUACAACAGGCACCAGCUCUGGCCCUCCCGAACUACGAGAAACCCAUCUUCCUGUAUGUAUCCAAUCAUAAUUUACACACACCACAUAAUUGCGAGUCUUGUUGAACAGGGUAAAUUUCGGUUGACAGAGGCACGGGGUUGGGAGAUUUAAAA